GCGGGAUUAGCGAGCCCUGACCUCGGGAUCAGCGGCCAGUCAAACCCAUUUACACUCACCCAGCGGAACACUGACGGCUCCCGCUGCAGCAAGCGGCCGGCCGGGCAACAGGAAGGAGAGACCCAGAUCAGCCCUGGAAAAGUGCAGCUCCAGUGGGGAAGAAGGAAGGCGGUCACAGCUGGUGGUCACAGGGGUAUAUGGUGGUCCGUGGUUGAACUGCACCCCGAGGGGACCAGAAGAAUGUAGGUCCCACAUCAAGGGAGCCCCGCAUAACCCAGAGAACAAGAGUGAAAUGAGCUCUGAAAAAAGGAAAAACGAAUCUCACAGGAGGAAUAGGGAUGACUUUUGUGAUCACCAUGUGGUUAGCUGAGGAAACGCCUCUCUCAUACGCCUUCAUGUCAGGAACUGCACCUAGGAGUACACGUUUAUGUAGCCAAUGUUUUUCCCCUCGUUUUCUCAGUUAUCUUUCAGGAACUAAUGCACAUGUAUAUUGACUAUAUUACAUUAUUAAAUGGUGGAAUGCUCA